rnacentral:lncRNA from 13 species
CUUGGGUGCUUCUGAGCACAACUCACCUGUGGUCUCCCCGCCUUAGUGGGGAACCCUCGCCCCCACUCCUGGACUUCCACACUUCAGGAAGAUGCAGGCAGAUGAGGCUCAGUGGUAGUGUGUGUGAGGGAAGGAGACAGAAGGUCCUGAGGGAGAACUGCUGAUUUUAUUUCUUUUUCUUUUCUUUUUUUUCUUUUUGAGACAGAGUCUCUCUUUGUUGCCCAGGCUGGAGUACAGUGGUGUGAUCUGAUCUCAGCUCAUCACAACCUCUACCUCCUGGGUUCAAGCAAUUCUCCUGCCUCAGCCUCCUGAGUAACUGGGAUUACAGCUGCCCAUGUGACCAGCCAGGACCUGCCUCCUCCCCAGCUGGAGAGCCUUGCCCAUCAGGAGUGACAGGAGAAUCAAUAGAACCGCAGAUACACAAGAAAUUCCCAGAAGCGGGUUCCCACCAACCAGAUGUUCCCACGCCUUUCUCAGACAGAUUAGUGUCCUAGCAACUGGAAAACGGGAAAACGAAGUCUGUUUCUCUCUGGGAAUAGACUGGACAAAAGACAUUUGUGUGCUGAGAACAUCCUUGGAGAGUUUUCCUGCCAGUCCUGUAUCAAGCUGACCCAUCUACCUGCGUCUUCCUGCCCAUUGUUGGCCCCUUGCACCUUGGAAGCAGGGACCUCAUCUAAGACAUCCUGGCACCUGCAGCCUGGCACACAGCACGGAGCUGGAUAAUGGGGCACUGAUGAAGAUUGAAGUGGAUCCAGGAUCAUCUGUUAAUGAUCACACGACUGACAGUGUGCUCAUUAGCAUACAGCGUGAC